CCUACGGGAGGCAGCAGUGGGGAAUAUUGGACAAUGGGCGGAAGCCUGAUCCAGCCAUGCCGCGUGUGUGAAGAAGGCCUUUUGGUUGUAAAGCACUUUAAGCGAGGAGGAGGCUACCUGGAUUAAUACUCUGGGAUAGUGGACGUUACUCGCAGAAUAAGCACCGGCUAACUCUGUGCCAGCAGCCGCGGUAAUACAGAGGGUGCGAGCGUUAAUCGGAUUUACUGGGCGUAAAGCGUGCGUAGGCGGCUGAUUAAGUCGGAUGUGAAAUCCCUGAGCUUAACUUAGGAAUUGCAUUCGAUACUGGUCAGCUAGAGUAUGGGAGAGGAUGGUAGAAUUCCAGGUGUAGCGGUGAAAUGCGUAGAGAUCUGGAGGAAUACCGAUGGCGAAGGCAGCCAUCUGGCCUAAUACUGACGCUGAGGUACGAAAGCAUGGGGAGCAAACAGGAUUAGAUACCCCAGUAGUC
rnacentral:rRNA from 1 species